rnacentral:tRNA from 1 species
GCCCCCGUAGCCCAAUCGGCAGAGGCAGCGGACUCAAAAUCCGUCCAGUGUCCGUUCGAGUCGGACCGGGGGCACCA